CUCUCCACUAUUCGGUGUCCAAUUUUCCCGAAGUUAGUCGAAGCUAGUCGAAGGAGGUCUUCAGCAUGUAAUUUUUUCAAACAAUUCUAAACUCGCCAAUUAGGUCGCCCAAGUGGGACAGCCCCUUUA